rnacentral:rRNA from 1 species
UACGAAGGGGGCUAGCGUUGCUCGGAAUCACUGGGCGUAAAGGGUGCGUAGGCGGGUCUUUAAGUCAGGGGUGAAAUCCUGGAGCUCAACUCCAGAACUGCCUUUGAUACUGAGGGUCUUGAGUUCGGGAGAGGUGAGUGGAACUGCGAGUGUAGAGGUGAAAUUCGUAGAUAUUCGCAAGAACACCAGUGGCGAAGGCGGCUCACUGGCCCGAUACUGACGCUGAUGCACGAAAGCGUGGGGAGCAAACAGG